rfam:Citrus clementina cultivar Clemenules unplaced genomic scaffold scaffold_2, whole genome shotgun sequence.
AGAGAGAUGGCUAAGUGUUUCAAGGUAUGGCAUUGGAACUACUAUGUAGACUUUUGUUUAUCGAGUGUUUGAAUCCCUCUCUUUCUA